AAAUUGAAGAGUUUGAUCAUGGCUCAGAUUGAACGCUGGCGGCAGGCCUAACACAUGCAAGUCGAACGGUAACAGGAAGCAGCUUGCUGCUUUGCUGACGAGUGGCGGACGGGUGAGUAAUGUCUGGGAAACUGCCUGAUGGAGGGGGAUAACUACUGGAAACGGUGGCUAAUACCGCAUAACGUCGCAAGACCAAAGAGGGGGACCUUCGGGCCUCUUGCCAUCAGAUGUGCCCAGAUGGGAUUAGCUUGUUGGUGAGGUAACGGCUCACCAAGGCGACGAUCCCUAGCUGGUCUGAGAGGAUGACCAGCCACACUGGAACUGAGACACGGUCCAGACUCCUACGGGAGGCAGCAGUGGGGAAUAUUGCACAAUGGGCGCAAGCCUGAUGCAGCCAUGCCGCGUGUAUGAAGAAGGCCUUCGGGUUGUAAAGUACUUUCAGCGGGGAGGAAGGUGUUGUGGUUAAUAACCGCAGCAAUUGACGUUACCCGCAGAAGAAGCACCGGCUAACUCCGUGCCAGCAGCCGCGGUAAUACGGAGGGUGCAAGCGUUAAUCGGAAUUACUGGGCGUAAAGCGCACGCAGGCGGUCUGUCAAGUCGGAUGUGAAAUCCCCGGGCUCAACCUGGGAACUGCAUUCGAAACUGGCAGGCUUGAGUCUUGUAGAGGGGGGUAGAAUUCCAGGUGUAGCGGUGAAAUGCGUAGAGAUCUGGAGGAAUACCGGUGGCGAAGGCGGCCCCCUGGACAAAGACUGACGCUCAGGUGCGAAAGCGUGGGGAGCAAACAGGAUUAGAUACCCUGGUAGUCCACGCCGUAAACGAUGUCUACUUGGAGGUUGUGCCCUUGAGGCGUGGCUUCCGGAGCUAACGCGUUAAGUAGACCGCCUGGGGAGUACGGCCGCAAGGUUAAAACUCAAAUGAAUUGACGGGGGCCCGCACAAGCGGUGGAGCAUGUGGUUUAAUUCGAUGCAACGCGAAGAACCUUACCUGGUCUUGACAUCCACAGAACUUUCCAGAGAUGGAUUGGUGCCUUCGGGAACUGUGAGACAGGUGCUGCAUGGCUGUCGUCAGCUCGUGUUGUGAAAUGUUGGGUUAAGUCCCGCAACGAGCGCAACCCUUAUCCUUUGUUGCCAGCGAUUAGGUCGGGAACUCAAAGGAGACUGCCAGUGAUAAACUGGAGGAAGGUGGGGAUGACGUCAAGUCAUCAUGGCCCUUACGACCAGGGCUACACACGUGCUACAAUGGCGCAUACAAAGAGAAGCGACCUCGCGAGAGCAAGCGGACCUCAUAAAGUGCGUCGUAGUCCGGAUUGGAGUCUGCAACUCGACUCCAUGAAGUCGGAAUCGCUAGUAAUCGUGGAUCAGAAUGCCACGGUGAAUACGUUCCCGGGCCUUGUAACACCGCCCGUCACACCAUGGGAGUGGGUUGCAAAAGAAGUAGGUAGCUUAACCUUCGGGAGGGCGCUUACCACUUUGUGAUUCAUGACUGGGGUGAAGUCGUAACAAGGUAACCGUAGGGGAACCUGCGGUUGGAUCACCUCCUUA
rnacentral:rRNA from 1 species